rnacentral:rRNA from 1 species
GGAUGAACGCUGGCGACAGGCCUAACACAUGCAAGUCGAGGGGCAGCACGAGGUAGCAAUACUAGGGUGGCGACCGGCGGACGGGUGAGUAACACGUAUGCAACCUGCCCGUAAUCGGGGGAUAACCCGGAGAAAUUCGGACUAACACUCCAUGUAUCUGUAUUAUUGCAUGAUAAAACAGAAAAACGCAAGGAUUACGGAUGGGCAUGCGGAUGAUUAGCUGGUUGGCGGGGUAACGGCCCACCAAGGCGACGAUCAUUAGGGGUUCUGAGAGGAAGGUCCCCCACAUUGGAACUGAGAAACGGUCCAAACUCCUACGGGAGGCAGCAGUGAGGAAUAUUGGACAAUGGAUGGAAAUCUGAUCCAGCCAUGCCGCGUGCAGGAAGACAGCCCUAUGGGUUGUAAACUGCUUUUAUAUGGGAGCAAUAAGGUCUACGUGUAGACUGAUGAGAGUACCAUAUGAAUAAGCAUCGGCUAACUCCGUGCCAGCAGCCGCGGUAAUACGGAGGAUGCGAGCGUUAUCCGGAUUUAUUGGGUUUAAAGGGUGCGUAGGCGGCCGAGUAAGUCAGCGGUGAAAUUUUGCAGCUUAACUGUAACAGUGCCGUUGAUACUGCAUGGCUAGGAUUUGGUUGCUGUGGGUGGAAUGUGUGGUGUAGCGGUGAAAUGCUUAGAUAUCACACAGAAUAUCAAUUGCGAAGGCAGCUCACAAAGCCAAGAUUGACGCUGAGGCACGAAAGUGUGGGGAUCAAACAGGAUUAGAUACCCUGGUAGUCCACACUGUAAACGAUGAUAACUCACUGCCGGCGAUACACAGUCGGUGGCCAAGCGAAAGCGAUAAGUUAUCCACCUGGGGAGUACGACCGCAAGGUUGAAACUCAAAGGAAUUGACGGGGGCCCGCACAAGCGGAGGAACAUGUGGUUUAAUUCGAUGAUACGCGAGGAACCUUACCCGGGCUCGAACGGUGCAUGAAUAAGCAAGAGAUUGUUUAGUCCUUCGGGACAUGUAUCGAGGUGCUGCAUGGUUGUCGUCAGCUCGUGCCGUGAGGUGUAGGCUUAAGUGCCAUAACGAGCGCAACCCUUGUCGUUAGUUGCCAUCAGGUAAUGCUGGGAACUCUAGCGAGACUGCCACCGUAAGGUGUGAGGAGGGGGGGGAUGACGUCAAAUCAGCACGGCCCUUAUGUCCGGGGCGACACACGUGUUACAAUGGGGGGUACAGAGGGCAGCCAUCCGGUGACGGAGCGCUAAUCUCCAAAACCCUUCUCAGUUCGGAUUGGAGUCUGCAACCCGACUCCAUGAAGUUGGAUUCGCUAGUAAUCGCGCAUCAGCCAUGGCGCGGUGAAUACGUUCCCGGGCCU